UACGGGAGGCAGCAGUGGGGAAUUUUGGACAAUGGACGCAAGUCUGAUCCAGCAAUGCCGCGUGCAGGAUGAAGGCCUUCGGGUUGUAAACUGCUUUUGUACAGAACGAAAAGGCUCUGGUUAAUACCUGGGGCUCAUGACGGUACUGUAAGAAUAAGCACCGGCUAACUACGUGCCAGCAGCCGCGGUAAUACGUAGGGUGCGAGCGUUAAUCGGAAUUACUGGGCGUAAAGCGUGCGCAGGCGGUUUUGUAAGACCGAUGUGAAAUCCCCGGGCUCAACCUGGGAACUGCAUUGGUGACUGCAAGGCUGGAGUGCGGCAGAGGGGGAUGGAAUUCCGCGUGUAGCAGUGAAAUGCGUAGAUAUGCGGAGGAACACCGAUGGCGAAGGCAAUCCCCUGGGCCUGCACUGACGCUCAUGCACGAAAGCGUGGGGAGCAAACACGGAUUAGAUACCCUGGUAGUCCACGCCCUAAACGAUGUCAACUGGUUGUUGGGUAUUUGCUUACUCAGUAACGAAGCUAACGCGUGAAGUGCCCGCCUGGA
rnacentral:rRNA from 1 species